rnacentral:piRNA from 1 species
UAGAUGGAAAACUGUGGGGCAAUGGGCU